UUUCGGUUCCUCGCAACAACCUCUGAUUUACUCGGUCAGGUUCGGAAGAAAGCAGCCAAAGUCAGAAUGUUUGUGUGCCGAGUUUAAGCUGGGAGGA
rnacentral:SRP_RNA from 1 species